rnacentral:rRNA from 1 species
CCUACGGGGGGCAGCAGUGGGGAAUAUUGGACAAUGGGGGGAACCCUGAUCCAGCCAUGCCGCGUGUGUGAAGAAGGCCCUCGGGUUGUAAAGCACUUUCAGUGAGGAAGAACGCCUGGUGGUUAAUACCCAUCAGGAAAGACAUCACUCACAGAAGAAGCACCGGCUAACUCCGUGCCAGCAGCCGCGGUAAUACGGAGGGUGCGAGCGUUAAUCGGAAUUACUGGGCGUAAAGCGCGCGUAGGUGGCUUGAUAAGCCGGUUGUGAAAGCCCCGGGCUCAACCUGGGAACGGCAUCCGGAACUGUCAAGCUAGAGUGCAGGAGAGGAAGGUAGAAUUCCCGGUGUAGCGGUGAAAUGCGUAGAGAUCGGGAGGAAUACCAGUGGCGAAGGCGGCCUUCUGGACUGACACUGACACUGAGGUGCGAAGGCGUGGGUAGCAAACAGGAUUAGAUACCCGUGUAGUC